GGUCAAAUAAUGCAUGAGGCGAGUCAAACUCCUAUACGUCAAUAUUUAUAAUAUACAAGUGUUUCAUCCUUCCAGCGAUUUACUGCAUAGUCUAUACAAUCUCAAGAGUAAAUGAUAAUAAACGAAACAAAUAACAGUAUUUAUCUGCCCAUUAUGUCUUUCUUUCCCCCAAAUCCAUGGACACCCAAACAACAAUCGAUCUUCUCUUUUGCUGGUGAUUUUAAUCAUUUUGAGGGUCAUCAAAUUAAUUAAGAAAAAUAUUCGCACUUUUCAAGCUUGUCAUUACAAUAUUUCAUCUGAGAUACCAAAUGAGUAACUGACUCUUGACCAAAUUGUUGUUGUAAAUAUCAUCAGAGGCCACUAAAACUAAUAUUAUGAAGUAACUGGAAAAUUAUGUAGAUAACUGAAGUUUUCCAAAUGUUUCCUUUAUGAAGGUUUCCUCACCUGUCAUAUUAUUUGACCCUGCUGAUGCUAAUGUAAACAAAAACAGCUGUCGGCAGGUGGUGCGGUAUCGAGUCGGACAGUGUACAGUAUCAUGAGGUUUCAUCAACAAAUCCGUACCAUUAAGAAAUUAAAAGACAUCACCGUGCAGCCAGAAUGAAUUUCAGCCGAGUGUUGUUAUCCCUCCCUCUCAGAAGACAAACGGUGAUAGGUGCACUAGUAAUGGCCACAGUGCUGUACAUAGUCUACCAGUUUAUAUUCGUUGCUGAACUCACCGAGUCUAGUAAACCUCAAAAGCACGAUGACGGAACACAACAGGCAGCGAGAUGGAGGCACCAAGAGCUCAUGUUGAAAAAGCAUCCUAAAGAUUUGAGACCCAGGAAGGUGAACGAAAUGCAUGAUAAGGCUGAAGUUGCAGCUGAAGGAAAUGAUAAGGGAAACAGUGGUGCUGAAGGGAAGAAAGAAGCUGCAGGGAAGAAAAAAGAUGCACAAAAUGACAUUCAGAAUGUGGAGGAAGUCAAGGGAAACCAGGAAUCAAAACUUACAUUUCGAUGUGAGAAAUCAGGAAAAAUAAUUUCAGUUCUAAAACUCAACGACAAUUACUGUGACUGCCCAGAAGAUGGAUCAGAUGAACCAAGAACAAAUGCUUGUGCAAAUGGCAGGUUCACUUGUUUAAAACAUACAAAGUCUUUUCCAGAGUCUAUCCCUUCAGGAUGGGUGAAUGAUGGAGUGUGUGACUGUUGUGAUGGCUCAGAUGAAUGGAAGAUGAAAAAGCCUGAAGCAGAUUUGCCUUUGAAUCUUCAAAGAAGAAUAGGUCGAUUCUUGUCACCUUGUCCUGAUCAGUGCCCAGAUGCAUUAUAAAACAAUAAAGAUGCUUUUGGACAACUUCUAGAACCCUCCACUGAGAAACAUCAGUUUUCACAGCUGAAGCUUACAUAGUUUCAUAUUUUGAUGCAAAUGUGAAUGCAAAGAUGAUCUCCACUGAGUUACAGUGUGGUGUGUGUGUGUGUGUGUGUGUGUGCAAUGAUUUGUAUUUCUACAGGAUAGUCAAGUUUGUUAUGUCCCUUUUUCUUAAAAUCCAAUGAUUAUAUUUUCCUUGAGUUAAUGUUUACUGGUAAUACAUUGCAUUGAUUUAUUGUCACCUGGGAAACUGGAUUUUUCCUCCAAAUCUGGAGUUUCAUUGAUGACAUGAGUGUUUUACAUCUAUUUACCUUUUCUUUUUUGGCUACACAUUUUUACAUUACAUUAACUUAAUUUUUGUUUCUAUUUUAUUUUAUUAUUUAUUUAUUUUUUUAUUUAACAAUUCAACAUAACUGCAGUCUGCAUACAAAGAAUGGUUUCAUUCUAUGGGUGAACAUUGGGAUACAUUCCACAUCCAUUCCACUUUUCAUUCUGUAUAAAUUUAAUUGCCUUAGCAGAUAUGUUGGUAUGUACUAUCCUUCUCUCAUUUACCCAUAUAUUUCUGAAUUGCUUUACUUGCUUGAAUAUUUGGGUAGCUACUGUAAAUAGUACAAUUCAUGUUGUGGAUCCAGUAGCAAAAAAAAAACAUAUGAUAUCUGAUUUUGCAUUUUAUGCAUCAUUUUAAUGCACUGAUAUGGUGUUUUGUUUACUUUUUCCCAUCUCAGCAAGCUUUGCAUUUCACCAAGAACAGACUCAGUCCAUAAUAAAAUAUCUUUUGCUGUUUAUGAAUAGAAAACUUGUCAAGUGCACUGGGAUACUUUAUAGAUCAACACUAAAACAAGUAAUAUAACAUAACUUCCUGAAAUAUUUACUUCUGAUGUUGGUCGAGAGAUGAGGCAAUAAACUGUUUAACAAUGUGCAUUCACCACAUGCAAUUGCCAUUAGUAUAUCCAUUACAUCAUGACUUACCAGAAAUGGUGAGAAGAAAAGCAAAGCAAAGUUCAAUUAAUCACUACCUGGUAGAGAACUCAUCAGUAUUUGUUAUUUGUAUCCAUAUUGAUUUACCUAUUUAGUAUAUCAAUACAGAUGUACAAGAGGUGAAAAUGACACACAUGAAUAAAAAAAAAAUAAAUAAAUAAAUAAAAAGAUAACAUGAAACUGGAACAACUAACAUUCUGUUUUAGACAUUCUAUGUAGUUGGAUGGUGCCACAAUCAAUUGUUACUGGAAUAUGUACUUUUAGCAUACAUGGAACAAUCUGGAAUAGUUUAUUUUUCUCUCAUGUGGAUUAUUAUAUACUGAAUAUGCCUAUAAUUUAUAUUUGUGUACAUGAAAUGUUGUGACGUCUGCAUUUCACAUUAACAUGAAGCUUACAUUGUGGAUGACUGGCUGGAUUAGACAUGGUAUAGUCACACUUAGAGUCUAUCAAUGCCCCUCAGCCUUUUCCAUUAGGUUUAAUGUUUUUUCUUCAAUAUUAGAUUCUCUGAUCUGCUGACAGUCAGUGCACAGAACCUGAUAAGGAGAUUGGAGGACUUAUGAUUGAGAAAAAACAAAACACAACACAGUAGAAAUUAAUGCCAUUAUUCUACUUUUGACUAAGGAUGUAUUCAGAUGGGGCCAAAAAGUGUAGAUCCAAAUUGUAAUGUUUAGAUUCUUGGACUUAUGAAAAGUUCAUUAUACAGGUUCCUUUGUACUAUUGACUAAUUAUAGAUAGAAGUGUUAUUCAAGUGUAUGCAUUUUGAACAAAAAAAAUUAUCUAUUGUUAUGAAACAAAGUUCAUGAGAUUAUGUGGAAUAUAUAUAUAUAUAUAUAUAUAUAUAUAUAUAUAUAUAUAUAUAUAUAUAUAUAUAUAUAUAUAUAUAUAUAUAUAUAUAUAUAUAUAUUGCUCAACAAAAAGUAGUGGCACCCUGAUAAUGUCUUGCAGGCACUGCAACUUCAUUUUGCAUUUCCUCAAAAAUAUAAUGAACAAAAUUUGCCAGAGUCUCAUUGCUUUAACCACGGCACCACAUCUUUUUGUCAAGCACUGUGUUUACACAUACACACAUGUGCACAAACACAGUAUAUACAGUAUAUAAGUGACAAUCCAAAAAAAGUAAAUUUAUGUAGGAAAAUAUAGACAAAAUGUUAUGAUUUUUUAAACCAAAGAUACAGGAGAAUUACUACUUGAGUAGAGCAUCUGCCACUGAGCAGCAAACUCCUGGUAUCCAUAAUAGUCUUGUUUCUAUUACAGUUAGCUGACAACAUAACUUUAAUGCCAUAUAUUAUGGCAAAAAGCAAGUGGGAGUGUGAUAUAAAGACAAAGGAUGUAUAUUUGUUGUGAAAAAAACUUGAGCUCUAAAGAAGUUGAAAUGGAAGCUGUAAGAUUGAUUUAACCUAAUAAUUACUGUAACUGUUGACUUUCACUGCUACCUGUCUUUUGUCUUGAUAAAGGUCAUCAAGUUAAUUACUGAAUCCAGUUAAAUAGAUAAAUGGAGUAAGCAUAAAGUCUUCCCUGAUUACAAACAUUUAUUACAUAAAACAAAUUGUAGAAAUAAACAUGAAAUUUUAUACAGAUUAUAUCUUAUCUCAAUUUUUCCAUCACUUGAGAAAAUGUGCCCCAUUCAUUUCUUGGAGAAUAUCUACUAUUAUCCUUGCUGUCAUGGUUCUAAGAUCAUGAACUGCUAAACUGUGCUCUUUGUUUUUUUAAUCAUACCAAUAAAAGGAAAUCCAAGGAGUUAAUGUCAGGUAAAUGUUGUAGCCAGUGUUGGCUGAUCUCUCCCAAUCUAUUAGUUUGCUGAGCUGAAGCUUCAACUUAAGCAAACCUUUAUCUGUACAUGUUGGAGCUCAAUAUGCAGUUUCAAGUUUGGGUUGUUUUCCAAUAAAAUGUCCACCAUUA